UGAUGGAGAGCUUGCCUGCUGAGGUUAAGCGGCGGACGGGUGAGUAACACAGUAGGCAACCUGCCCGUAAGACCGGGAUAACUAGCGGAAACGUUAGCUAAUACCAGGAUAAUCAAUGUUUCUCGCAUGGGAGAGACUUGGGAAAGGCGGAGCAAUCUGUCACUUACGGAUGGGCCUGCGGCGCAUUAGCUAGUUGGUGGGGUAACAGGCUCACCAAGGCGACGAUGCGUAGCCGACCUGAGAGGGUGAACUGGCCACACUGGGACUUGAUCACACGGCCCAGACUCCUACGGGAGGCAGCAGUAGGGAAUCUUCCGCAAUGGACGAAAGUCUGACGGAGCAACGCCGCGUGAGUGAUUGAAGGUUUUCGGAUCUGUAAAGCUCUUGUUUGCCAUGUGGAAUGAACAGUCCGCUUAAGAAGUAAGCUUUGCUACGCAGAGAAGUGACUGGUACCUUUGAAGAAGAAAGCCCCUGGCUAACUACUGUGCCAGCAGUACGCGGUCAAAUACGUAAGAGNGGGCAAUCGCGUUUGUCCCGCGAAUNAAUUUGGGCGUUAAAGCAGCAGCGCAGGCGUGUCAAUCUAACAGUCCUGGUGUCUAAUCCUGAGAGNGCUCAACUCCGNGGUCGCAUUUGGGAAACUUGGUUGACUUUGAAGUGCAANAAGAGGAGAGUGNACAUUUCCACGUGUAAGACAGGUGACAUUGCGUANACGCAUGUGGAGGAAACACCAGUGGCAAAUGGCGACGUCUCAUUGGNNCUUGUAACCNUGGGAACCGNCCCUAGGAAGGGACAGCCAGAAAAAAAGCACGAUCGGGAGGAACGACCAACACNCACCGGGGGGANUCNCANCAACUACANCCCCNGGGGAUCAGACUACCCACGCAGGCCCCGAGAACAACACCGCAACUGAAAAAUCGCUAAAAGGAAGGUCACANAGAAGCGCUAUACACCAGACACAAACCCCAUUNGNAGAGNGACAANACAACAGAAUACCCCCACACUAAACGNCACAUCGCACGGGACGCACGUGAGGAAGNAGACAAAGGCCAAUCGGNGGCACCGCACCAAANAANGNACAGUAAGAAAAACNGCACCAAACNCAGACAGGACAAAUUAGAGCACAGGGGGACGNGACACCCACCACGCNGACAAACCAAACAGAAAAGNUAGGCGCAAAAGCUAUCGAUUAGUAGAGCAAUAACCUACAGAGCAANCCCGCCAANGGAAANNCNCACACACGCCUUCCAAGAGGCAGNAUUCCGAAGACCACGCUUAAGAGGACCCACACCCCAGCAUAAGAANGAAANAGGGUNCCCACAAGGGAAGACAACNAGAGACACCAGGCGGGAGANGAAGGGGAGUCCCAAGANCCCAACCGANACGUACAAAGGAGNACCAUACACGCAGAAAGGGCAGANGCACACCCANANUGAACGGCGACNCCGCAANGGGCCACAAAGCAAGAGCGACCCGAAAAACNGCAGGAGNCACGAAACCNCNAGAAAGCGCACAACAACCCGCACGAAGAGAGGAAGNNACGAAACUANCAGACANGAGAGAAGACCACANGGCAUGAAGGAGANUACA
rnacentral:rRNA from 1 species